rnacentral:rRNA from 1 species
UACGGGGGGGGCAAGCGUUGUUCGGAAUUACUGGGCGUAAAGGGUUUGUAGGUGGCCCGCUAAGUCACACGUGAAAUCCCUCAGCUUAACUGGGGAACUGCGUGUGAGACUGGCAGGCUCGAGGGCAGGAGAGGAACGCGGAAUUCCAGGUGUAGCGGUGAAAUGCGUAGAGAUCCGGAGGAACACCAGUGGCGAAGGCGACACGCUGGGCCGUACCUGACGCUAAAGCGCGACAGCAUGGGGAGCAAACGGG